GCGGGAAUAGCCAAGUGGUCAACGGCGACAGACUCAAGAUCUGUUCGUGAAGACGUUCAGGGGUUCGACUCCCCUUUCCCGCA
rnacentral:tRNA from 1 species